GAUGAACGCUGGCGGCGUGCCUAAUGCAUGCAAGUCGAGCGAACGGACGAGAAGCUUGCUUCUCUGAUGUUAGCGGCGGACGGGUGAGUAACACGUGGAUAACCUACCUAUAAGACUGGGAUAACUUCGGGAAACCGGAGCUAAUACCGGAUAAUAUUUUGAACCGCAUGGUUCAAAAGUGAAAGACGGUCUUGCUGUCACUUAUAGAUGGAUCCGCGCUGCAUUAGCUAGUUGGUAAGGUAACGGCUUACCAAGGCAACGAUGCAUAGCCGACCUGAGAGGGUGAUCGGCCACACUGGAACUGAGACACGGUCCAGACUCCUACGGGAGGCAGCAGUAGGGAAUCUUCCGCAAUGGGCGAAAGCCUGACGGAGCAACGCCGCGUGAGUGAUGAAGGUCUUCGGAUCGUAAAACUCUGUUAUUAGGGAAGAACAUAUGUGUAAGUAACUGUGCACAUCUUGACGGUACCUAAUCAGAAAGCCACGGCUAACUACGUG
rnacentral:rRNA from 1 species